rnacentral:rRNA from 1 species
AUUGAACGCUGGCGGCAGGCCUAACACAUGCAAGUCGAGCGGAUGAAGGGAGCUUGCUCCUGGAUUCAGCGGCGGACGGGUGAGUAAUGCCUAGGAAUCUGCCUGGUAGUGGGGGAUAACGUCCGGAAACGGGCGCUAAUACCGCAUACGUCCUGAGGGAGAAAGUGGGGGAUCUUCGGACCUCACGCUAUCAGAUGAGCCUAGGUCGGAUUAGCUAGUUGGUGGGGUAAAGGCCUACCAAGGCGACGAUCCGUAACUGGUCUGAGAGGAUGAUCAGUCACACUGGAACUGAGACACGGUCCAGACCCCUACGGGAGGCAGCAGUGGGGAAUAUUGGACAAGGGGCGAAAGCCUGAUCCAGCCAUGCCGCGUGUGUGAAGAAGGUCUUCGGAUUGUAAAGCACUUUAAGUUGGGAGGAAGGGCAGUAAGUUAAUACCUUGCUGUUUUGACGUUACCAACAGAAUAAGCACCGGCUAACUUCGU